GCCGGGGUGACCGAGUGGCCCAAGGUGCCGGCCUCGAGAGCCGGUGCCCCUCGACGGGGCGCGUGGGUUCAAAUCCCACCCCCGGCG
rnacentral:tRNA from 1 species